GUGAGGGAUUGAGGGAGUUGAGGGUGGUCGGUUAAGGUGUGAAAAGUGUCGGUGAAGAAGGAAGGGUUGAAAGUGAGAAGGGAUUGGAGGCUGAAGGUGGAGAACAUUGGGUCAAUGGCAGAGGAGGAGGUGUCGCCGGAAAACAUUGGGUCCAUUUGAUCGAAGCUUAUGAGAGAGUAUAUAAAGUGAAAGCAAGAAGAUGUGUUUGAGAAUAAAAUGCUGUUAGAAAUAUAUAGUAAGAGUGAGAGUGAGAGUGAGAGUAUUCGUGUAUUCAUCAUUUCAAAAUGUUAACCGUGGUGGUUUCAUAAAAAGACAAAAUGUUAACCGUGAGUUUAUUAUUAGAGUGAGAGAUAGAGGAGUGCAUAUUCUCCUACCAAAAAUGUGUCCAUUUCCAUGAUUUUAGUGAGAGAGAGAGAGAGAAAGGAUAGUACUGUACUAUAGAGCUGUGAAAAACGGUUUGUUGUGAUUCUGAUAGCACCUGCUUGUGGCCGUUUUGCACAACCCGCUUUGUCGGUCCAUGUUCUUGUUUUUUGUCCUUUUCUCAUUUUGGCCGCCCGCAUGUAGAACAUAAUCACACCAGAACCGAACCAUGAUGCAUGUAUGUCAUCACGAUAUAUAUCUGGUUUUUAUAGGCACAAUAAAUCAUCCAUCCAACUGCUAUGCAUUCCUCUAUUUCAUCAGCAUGGAGUACUAUAUAUCAUCCCACUUCUACAUCAUCCCACUUCUACAUUUAUGUAUCAUGAAUAUCGAAUACAAACACUCUCUUUCACACAUCCAGGCAUGCAUGCAUGAUGCAUAUCCAUACAUAUACACCAUUAGUACUGUUACUCGUACUAGCUAUAUAAUAUAACGUUUGUUUAUCUCGACAGUAAUACCUCAACCACCUUAUGAAUUUCCACUGCCUCGUAUGUGUUUUUGUUCUUUAAAGCAAUUCGUCAGUAAUUGUAUACUACAAUGCACUAUAUUAUCAUUACAAUUUUCAGACGACAAACUCUGACACUUCAAUGUCAGAUGUUACUUAUAAAUACUAAAUUAUUUUUACUAAUGUAUAAUAUUAUAUAAUAAUAUAAUAAUAUAAUAAUUAUUUAAUAUUUUUUCUCAUACUAAUAAUAUAUUAGUAAUAAAACAUAUUGAGAAUUUGUUAAUUAAACAACGAAAUAUUUAAUAGAAGUGUUUUUAGAAAAAAAAACCAGCAAUUUGCAAAGAGGAAGAUUCGAACAAUAGAAUAAUUAUUCUAUGUUGAAGAUGGUGACUAGUAAAGUGACAAUCAAUUUCAACGUGUUUGGGAAGUUUAUGAAAUAUUGAGUUAUGAACAAUUUGAAUGAUAUUUUUGUUAUCGUAAAACAUGAGAAUGGUUUUGAUAGAGUGACAAUCAUAUUUAAAAGUAACCAACGAACCGAACUAUUUUAAUAGUGUCACUACAAGAAAAACAAAAAUUAGACGGGUAAAUUUGUUGGGUGAAUUUCACCUCAUAAAAAAAUGAUGUUUGAAAUAAAGAUGUAUUUAUUAAAUUUUUCCCUUCUUUGACUUCCUCACACACUCAUUUCUUCAUCCUCUCACCCUUCUUCUUCCUCUCCAUGUUCUUCUUCACUGACAAUUUCUUUUAAAGAAGCACACAAAAUUUCCACCAUCUUUUUAUAAUUCUUUCAACUUUUCCAUUCCAGUAUUAAAUUUUUGAUUUACAGUUCAGUAUUAUUAUAAGAUACACACUUUAUUUUUAUUUUUUCUUUAUUAAUAUUUAGUUGUUUUGAUUUAAAUAUUUUUGUUGAUGUUUCUAUCAUUAUUAAUGUUAUUUUAAAUUUAAUUUUUACAGAUAUUUUUAUUAUGUUGCAUUCAAUAAUAUGUAUGAAUUUAAAUAUAUGUGAAGAUGAUUACUUCUAAUUAGUGUAUUAAUUUUGUUCUGAUAUUAUAUUGUCCUAAAGCAAAAUUAUUGAUUUAGUUUAGGGUAUCACAGUUUUUAUGAGUAAUUAUUUCUAGUUCUUAGUUAGUAUAAUUAAUUUUGUUUAAUUUUUUUAUAAUGUUAAAAAAUUAAAAUAUAUAUAUAUAUAUAUUUUAUUUGAAACACAACCCGCUCCAACCUAACCCAACCCAACCCAUAAAUGAACGGGUCGGUUCAGGUCGAUUUUGACAAUGAUAUUGUGGGUUGGACGACAAAUUCAACUCAUUGAAGUUUGAACGUGUUGGGUGACGGGUUAGACCAAAUCCGGUCCAACCUAAACUAUGUACACCCCUAGUCCUCUAUGACGAUUCAUGUCUCUUCCUAACACCUUUCAAGAGACCGGAUCUGACUUGCUCAUCUAUCAGAGUUACUAUGAGACGGGAUCCGACUUGCUCUUGUCUUGUAAUAGUGUUCUCUUUGACCGGAUUCCGACCAACUUAGGAAUAUGCUAUCCGACUUGCUUGCCCCUUUGUACUCGGCCUACAAAAGCUUGGUCAAUAGGAAUUCAGGGAUGUACACAAGCCCCCCGAUCAUGAGGUCUAAUCGGAUUGAAGUGUUCGGACAAGAAAAUCAUGGAAUUCCUUCUGACUUUAGCCUAUCACUUAUUCAGUGAGUUACCAUGUGACAACGGUUUUAAUGAUGAUAACUUUUCUCUCUCCUUAUCAUGAUGGCUUUUCUAUGGGAACCCUAACUUGUCAUCAUUAUUUUAGUUUGAUACAACUUCUUGACCGUUGUAAACUUAUUUAAAUAAAAUGACUUUUUCUUCAUUUGUUCUUUCUCCAAAACUAGUGACCUCUCUUUCAAGUGUUGCUGACGAGUUUCUUUUUUAUUCCUUUAUCAAUCGUUUUUUCUACAACCUCAAGCCUCAUGUAUUGUUUUCUCUUUCCCUCUUUUUUAUUCUUUGUUAUGGUUAUAAUAUGGGAUUAUGAUGAUUCAGGAGAGUUCCCGAUUUCCCUUACUGCUCAUGAGAGAAAUAAAUAUAUGGAAUGAGUGCAUGAUAAAGUGUGAGGGUCAUCUGAGUCGAGUGGAGUUUGACCAUAUUGUUAGGGAAGUUUAUGGUGAGAUCCCUUCACCUAGUAGUAAAAUUGACUCAGAGUCUUCGUCAUCAGGUUUCGUGGAUACUCUGAUGUAGAUAACAUGAUAUUUGAUUGCUAAAGAGGUUCUAAUUUACGACCACAACAUCAUCGACGACAACUAUAUUUCAAAUCUUUGCUCCAAUAAUCAGGUUUCCUCCAUUGGGAACGAGGAUGACGUUGUGUUAGAACCCUGUGCAGUUGGUGAGAGAGUCUGUAUUACUCAGCCAAAAGGAGUGCCCGAUGAGUAUUUUUAUUUUUACUCAGGGGUAAUCGAGGAGUUUAAAUUUCGUAUCCCCUUUACUGAUUUUGAAUCCGACCUCCUUAAAACCCAAAACGUUCCCCUUGUCAGUUACACCCAAAUGGUUGAGGCUUUGUCAAAGCUUUUGAACUCGUUUGCGAGAUGGUGUAUAUAACUCCCACCUUAUGUUUGUUUUUCUCGUUCUUUGAGCUGAAGAGAGCGGGAAAAGGGGGUUGGGUUUCCCUUUGCGGAAUUCCAGGGAAGACCUUCCUUCAGGCUUAUACUACCAAUUAUAAAGGUUCCAAGGAUAAGUUCCUUCGAGUGAAGAGUGAGGAAAGGUGCCUCCAAAUUAUGUAUGUGUUGGACAGGAACUAUCGUUUCCCAAUUUAUUGGUCGGAUAUCCCAUUGUCGGUUUUCAGUUUUGAUUAUGAUAAAUUAAACGCUUUGGAAAUCCGAGCUUUAGCCGUUUUGGAUGCCUUUCGAGUAGUAAAAAUUAAGGACUUGUUACAUAUGGCUGACGACCCGGAACAAAUUUCUAAAUUUUUGGGUAAUGCUUAUAUGUGCCCUUUAUUGUUCUUCGGAGACCUUAUUAUUUUAUUUUUCUGAAUUUUACUUUGUUCUUUUCUUUCCAGCUGACAUAACGAACCUCAAGCUAUCCGAACAGAAGAAGCUGAUGGUUGAAGUGAGAGCAAGGUGUGGGGAACAAUUUGGUUCUAACAGUGAUUUGUCGGGUAUUUAGACCCAAAAUCUCAAAAGGAAGAAGAUGGACGUUGUCAAAGCAUCCCUUAUUGUAACAAAGCCCUAAACUGCCUCUAUUCCUCCAUCUUGGGAAUCAAAAUCGGGUUCUCCAAAGAGGAUGAAGACCCUGAUGAGUUAUAAUGUCAGUCAGGCCGACUUGACAAUUAAUACCUCGAUGUUUAAGUUUGUUUACGUUUGUUGUUAGCCAUCAAUGACGAUGUGCUUUUUGUAACAUUUUGGAUAAUGUUUUUUAUUGUUGGAAUCAUGUUUAAGCUCCCUUUUAAGGGCCCUUUUGGGUAUGCUAUUAUUAUUUUGUUAUCCAAUUUCCCCAUAAUUGUGCGUAUUUUCCUAAGUAUAUAUUUAAAAUAUCAAUUUACUUUGCUGGUGAUUUAGAUGUUUUGGUUAAAUGAUUAACCAACAUAGAUGUUUAUUAUAAACUUCUAUGGAUUUUUAAUAGGCCUGAUAGCACGAUCAAAGAUUCUUGUUUCCAUGUCUGACCUUGUUAAGUCAUUAGGUUUUAUUACCACGACUUGACCAUAAAUUCUUAUUUACGUAGAUGAUUACUUAGGGCAGAGGUCUAAUUAACAUAACUCAGCUAGAGGUUUCUCAUUUACGUGGCCGAUUAUUUAGGUUAGAGGUUUUAUUAACAUAACUCAGUCAUAGGUUUCUCUUUUACGUGGCCGAUUACUUCAGUUAGAGGUUUUAUUAACAUAACUCGGCCAGAGGUUUCUCACUUAUGUGGCUGAUUACUUAGGUUAGAAGUUUUAUUAACAUAACCCGGACAGAGGUUUCUCAUUUACGUGGCUGAUUACUUAGGUUAUAUAUUUUAUUAACAUAACUCAACCAGAGUUUUCUCAUUUACGUGGUCGAUUACUUCGGUUAGAGGUUUUUAUUAAAUAACCUGGCCAGAGGUUUCUCAUUUACGUGGCCGAUUACUUCGGUUAGAGGUUUUACUAACCUAAUCUGGCCAGAGGUUUCUCAUUUAUGUGACCGAUUUUAUGAGGUCAUUGGUGAUGUCUAUGAUAUUCAUCGCCACCGGGACGAGAUUGGCUUUACUGUAAAAAUGACACACAAACAUAUGAAUUGAAGAUGCCUCAUUAAAAACCCUUGCCCUUGCAAUGGAAAAGAGUGAUGCCCAUAAUUUUCAUUUAAAUAAUAUCAUUACAUAAUGUUUAACUAUAAUAAAAUCUAAGGUUGGAAACAUUCCCGACCUUCAGCAUUUCUAGUCCUUCUAAUAAGUUACAAAUAUUUUUAUAAAUGGACACACGAGUUCAAGGCGCUUAUAGACGGAAAAUAUUUUACAUGUUGAUACAAUUAUUUUUAUAAACGAGAAUAAGUUACAUAUAUUUUUAUAAACGGGAGAAAUUCAACUAUUGAUACAAUUAUUUUUAUAAACAGGAAUAAGUUAUAAAUAUUUUUUAUAAAUGGACACACGGGUUCAAGGUGCUUAUAAACGAGAAAAAAUCUACAUAUUGAUACAAUUAUUUUUUAUAAAUGGGGAUAAGUUACAAUUAUUUUUAUAAAUGGGAAAAAGUUUAUUAUUGAUACAAUCACUUUUUUAAAUGAAAAUAAGUCACAAGUAUUCAUCCUAUUUUAUAAUCGAGAAUAAUAUAUUUUAUUAUAAAUUAAAUAUAUAUGAAAAAGAUGAGUCAAUCAAUUCACUCUAAUAAAAGAGCAAACAUAGACUCGUCUUUCAAAAUAUACAAACAAAACAAAUAUAACCGAUGCUAAGAGAACCUAAUAUUUCAUAUUAUAUUUUAAUUUGAUAUUAGGAAUAUGAAAAUUAAAAGUUGUACAUAUUAAUAUAUAAAUGAUAUUUUUGAAAAAUAAAUCUAUUAAAUUUAGUGAUAUUUUUAUUUAAAAUAUAUGAAAAGGAUUAUGGGUGAUUAUAAUAAAAGAGAGACAGAGAUGAAAAUGGGGGCAAAAUAUUAUAGUCAUUGUUUCCAAAUCAAAUAAAAUUACUCACUUAUGUUAUAUAUUUAUUAUAUAUCUAUAUACUAUUUUAUUUUAUUUUAAAUAUCUUUCUUUUCUUAAAUAAUAUUUAUUUUAGUUAACAUAAUUUGUCUAUACAUGACAAAACACUAUUACCUUUUAAAUUAAACUAAUAUUUAUACAACAAUUAUAAUUUAAAACAUUUUUUCUAAUUUAUAUAUCUCUUAUUAUAUAUAUUUGUUAACUAUAUUGAAUUUAUUUAUUAUUUAUAAUUGACUUUUUUCUCAAGGGUCUCUUACUAGUUAGACUAAGAAAAACAGUUGCAACUUAAUAUCCUAGAUAAAAGAUAGCAGUAGAUAUUAAACAUUAAAAACAAGUCCUUUAACAAAUUAGGUUUGACCAUAACUAGAACAUAAUACCAAACAGAAAAAGUUUUUUCUUUCCUAAAAAACAAAAAAAAGGUGACACUAAGAAAAUCACUAGAAAGCUUGACAGAAACAUAGAAUAAACACUAAGCAUAAAAAGAUAUUGAAAAGAUGUUAGAAGCGAUGUCGUUUUGUGGCUUCUUAUUAAAAGAAAGUCUUGGAAGAACCAUUAUCAGACCUAUUCUGCUGCUGCUGUUGUUGUCUUCUCUCUGAUAAUUUUCUGAGCUGAGAGAAUUGUUCCAUGGAGAAAACACAAGCUGUUGUUGUCUUCUCUCUGAUAAUUUUCUGAGCUGAGAGAAUUGUUCCAUGGAGAAAACACAGUAACCUUGUGAGUAAAGCUUUGUUUGUGCAACCGGUGAGUUCACCACAACCUGCAAAGUCUGUUUUCUAUUCAGCUUCUUCAACUCACCAAAAACACUAUCAUCUCCCCCGCUGCCGCAGUAGGUCGCGGUCGAGUGAGAAGGCAUUGAUUGAAGAGCAGAGAUCUGUGCCUGCAAAAACUUAACGUAUUUGUAAGCUUCUUCAAAAAGGGUGGCUUGAUCCAUUUUCUUAUCCCAUGGCAUUAGUUUCUGCAAACAACGUGUUUUCUCGCUUAGUGUUUGUCUUCUCUGUCUUGCUAAUUUGCUCUGAGGAAUCAAAGAAGGAGAUUUCCCACGCACAAAGUGAGGUUGUUUCUGUGGUGGUGGAGAUGUUUCCUCCGUGAAAGGGUGGCGGAGGCGUUUUCUGCUACAGUGUUCAGGGGAAUGGAGUUGAGGGAGAUGAUGGAAAGUUUCAAAGGGUGGGUAGUAUUGAGGGAAGAAGCUGAAGGGUUGUUGUUGAAGUGGGAGAUAGUCUUGUAAUGGAGGAAGAUUAAGAGGGUGCUCGGUUUUUGGGGUUAUGAGGGCAUUUUUGUUGUUGUUAACAUAUGGAGGUUUGUCGGUGAGGGAUUGAGGGAGGUUAGGGAGUUGAGCGUGGUCGGUUAAGGUGUGAAAAAUGUCGGUGAAGAAGGAAGGGUUGAAAGUGAGAAGGGAUUGGAGGCUGAAGGUGGAGAACAUCGGGUCUAUGGCGGAGGAGGAGGUGUCGCCGGGAAACAUUGGGUCCAUUUGAUCGAAGCUGGAAUGUGUAUGAGAAUAAAAUGAGAGUCAAAAAAAGUGAAAGGAAG
rnacentral:lncRNA from 1 species